GAUCCUGGCUCAGGACGAACGCUGGCGGCGCGCCUAACACAUGCAAGUCGAACGAGAGAGAGGGAGCUUGCUUCCUCAAUCGAGUGGCGAACGGGUGAGUAACGCGUGAGGAACCUGCCUCAAAGAGAGGGACAACAGUUGGAAACGACUGCUAAUACCGCAUAAGCCCACAGCUCGGCAUCGAGCAGAGGGAAAAGGAGCAAUCCGCUUUGAGAUGGCCUCGCGUCCGA
rnacentral:rRNA from 1 species